GUGUCAGCAGCCGCGGUAAUACGGAGACUACGAGCGUUACUCGGAUUCACUGGGCGUAAAGGGUGCGUAGGCGGUCGGGUGUGUCAGGUGUGAAAUACCGGGGCUUAACUCCGGAACGGCGCUUGAAACUACCCGGCUUGAGGCUUGGAGAGGGCAGUGGAAUUCUCGGUGUAGCGGUGAAAUGCGUAGAUAUCGAGAGGAACACCAACGGCGAAGGCAGCUGCCUGGACAAGAUCUGACGCUGAAGCACGAAAGCGUGGGGAGCAAAAGGGAUUAGAUACCCCUGUAGUCCACGCCCUAAACUUUGCACACUAGGUCUUGGGGGAAUCGACCCCCUCAGGGUCCAAGCUAACGCGUUAAGUGUGCCGCCUGAGGACUACGGCCGCAAGGCUAAA
rnacentral:rRNA from 1 species